UACGGAGGAUGCAAGCGUUAUCCGGAAUGAUUGGGCGUAAAGCGUCCGCAGGUGGCUGUGUAAGUCUGCUGUUAAAGAGUGAGGCUCAACCUCAUAAAGGCAGUGGAAACUACAUGGCUAGAGUGCGUUCGGGGCAGAGGUAAUUCCUGGUGUAGCGGUGAAAUGCGUAGAGAUCAGGAAGAACAUCGGUGGCGAAGGCGCUCUGCUGGACCAUAACUGACACUCAGGGACGAAAGCUAGGGGAGCGAAUGGG
rnacentral:rRNA from 1 species